GGCUAAGAGUAUAUAUUGAUUUUUUUUCUGAAGAAUUGUCACCCCCUUGAUCGCCAGGGUUGAUUCGGCUGAUCUGGCUGGCUAGGCGGGUGUCCCCUUCCUCCCUCAUCGCUCCGUGUGCAUCCCUCCAGAAGCUGCACGCUCGGUUGAAGAAGAGGACCAUCCGUGAUAGAGGAGGACCCGUCUUCGGUCAAGGGUACACGAGUAGCUGCCCUCCCCUGCUAGAACCUCCAAACAGGCUCUCAAGGUCCAUAUUAGUCUGUAUGUCUGUAUAUUCAGGCAGAGUUUCUUCCAGUUUAAAUGGAAUACAUUUU
ensembl:misc_RNA 7SK 7SK RNA